AUGGUGGCAACAAUCACCGAUGUCGACCCCAAGGCCGGUGUACUGGAGCUGGAUGCCUCACCAGUGCCCUCCAUCAAGCUGGUAGCCAGCAAGGGGGACCAUGGCGUCAUCCUCAUCGUCUCCGGCAACCUCACUACACCGGUGCCGACCACGUGCUCGGCAGAAUGCCCUGUCACUGCCAGCGACUGGAUGAAGCCUCUGUUCGCCAUGAGUAUACUUCCUCCAACCUAUGCACCAUCCAAUUUGGUUCACCCUGAUCAUUCAGAACAUCUGCGGCACCUGUCACUGAUCGCGCAAGCAGAAUAUAGCAAUCACCUUGCAGAAAAGAGCACAACCCGGUGCUUGCCACUAGUACAGCCAGGAACCGGGCAGGAGCUAUGGCCGCCGCCUUUGCGACUGUGGGUCAGAAACAUGGAGCAUCCAUUCAGACCAACGCUGUGGCCGUCUCUCAACUACCAUUCAGUUGCAGGUUAUCUUGAGGAAACAUAUUCAGGUACGCAUCACCAGCCAUAG
rnacentral:rRNA from 1 species